UUUGUUUAAAAUAAACUUCAAAAAAGCCUAUGACAAUUUUUGUUGGGGCUUUUUGUUUUGUCGGUUUUAAAUCAAUUUGGCUUCCCUUCGGUUUGGUGUAAAUAGAUUCGGGGUAUUUUGGCUUCAGCGAGAUCUUCGGUUCUAAUUGUUGGUUCUCCUACCUUUGAGUUUGAUUGUCACAAAGGUAUUCGGCAAGGGGAUCUUAUCUCUCCUUUUUUAUUCAAUAUUGUGAUGGAAGCGUUCUCCGAAUGAAGAAAGCAUGUGCGAUUGGGGCGUUUAAUGGUGUCAACUUGCCGAAUGGGGGUCCGAACAGAAGCCACAAGCCAGAACUGCAGAAGGGGGGAAAACGCAGGUUCCAGAACUGAUCGACUUCAGCUUCUUGUUCGAGAACAGAAGCCAAAACGCGACUCGUUGUUGUGGCCUUGUACUCUUGUUCGACUUCUUC
rnacentral:lncRNA from 1 species